CCUACGGGCGGCAGCAGUGGGGAAUAUUGGACAAUGGGGGAAACCCUGAUGCAGCGACGCCGCGUGAGGGAAGAAGUAUUUCGGUAUGUAAAGCUCUAUCAGCAGGGAAGAAAAUGACGGUACCUGAGUAAGAAGCCCCGGCUAACUACGUGCCAGCAGCCGCGGUAAUACGUAGGGGGCAAGCGUUAUCCGGAUUUACUGGGUGUAAAGGGAGCGUAGACGGCAGCGCAAGUCUGGAGGGAAAGGCGGGGGCUCAACCCCCGGACUGCUCUGGAAACUGUGCGGCUGGAGUGCAGGAGAGGUAAGCGGAAUUCCUAGUGUAGCGGUGAAAUGCGUAGAUAUUAGGAGGAACACCGGUGGCGAAGGCGGCUUACUGGACUGUAACUGACGUUGAGGCUCGAAAGCGUGGGGAGCAAACAGGAUUAGAUACCCGGGUAGUC
rnacentral:rRNA from 1 species